GCUGCCUCCUUUGACUGUUAAGGAGCAGCCCAGCAGGUUAAUAAACUUGCUUGACUUAGGUCUACUCAUCCUUUCUCUCGGCUAGCCUUACAGUAAUAUUGCCAGUAAUAAGAAGGCUACAAAUCAGCUAAGAAAACAAGUGGUCAGAUGGCCAUAUAAAAACAAGAUGACAGCUGGGUGCGGUGACUCAUGCCUGUAAUCCCUGCACUUUGGGAGGCCAAGGCGGGUGGAUCACUUGAGGUCACGAGUUCGAGACCAGCCUGGCCAACAUGGUGAAACCCCAUCUCUACCAAAAAUACAAAAAUUCGCCAGGUGUGGUGGCACGUACCUGUAAUCCCAGCUACUCAGGAGGCUGAGGCAGGAGAAUCGCUUGAACCCGGGAGGUGGAGGUUGCAGUGAGCUGAGAUCGCGCCACUGUACUCCAGCCUGGGCGACAGAGCGAGACUCUGUCUCAAGAAAAAACAAACAAUCAAACAAAAAAACAAGAUGACAAAGUAUAUAAACUUAAAUUCAUGCUUAGUAAUCAUUGUUUCAAUAUUUUAACUUACUUGGAAAUGACUCAAACAUCUAAUGGGCAUUUAUUACUUAAUUUUAUUUUAAGGUUACAAGUUAUCAAAAAGAUUUUUGAGGCCAUUUUAAAGUAGAUAUUUUAUAAACAAUUAUUAAUAAAACCUCACUUAAACUUUUAUACAACUUAUAUUCAUUUAAUUUACUUAUUCUAAACAAUUAUGCUUGAACUGUUCAUGAAAAUUUUAUGAGACAUUAAACAAAGCUGGCCAAU
rnacentral:lncRNA from 1 species